rnacentral:rRNA from 1 species
CUGGCUCAGAACGAACGCUGGCGGCAGGCCUAAGUCAUGCAAGUUGAACGGCUGUAGCAAUACAGCAGUAGCGGACGGGUGAGUAAUGUAUGGGAACGUAUCUUCUAGUGGGGAAUAUUCUUUGGAAACGAAGAGCAAUACCGCAUGAGUCCUACGGGAGAAAGUCGCAAGACGCUAGAUGAGCGGCCCAUAUUGGAUUAGCUAGUUGGUUAGGUAAUGGCUGACCAAGGCAACGAUCCAUAGCUGGUCUAAGAGGACGAUCAGCCACAUUGGGACUGAGACACGGCCCAGACUCCUACGGGAGGCAGCAGUCAGGAAUAUUGGACAAUGGGGGCAACCCUGAUCCCAGCCAUGCCGCGUGAGUGUUAAGGUCUUCGGAUUGUAAAGCUCUUUUGUGUGGGAAAAUGAUGAUGGUACCACAAGAAUAAGCACCGGCUAACUUCGUGCCAGCCGCAGC